GGUGAUCGGGCACCCUGGGACUGAAACCCCGCCCAAACUCCUACGGGAGGCAGCAGUAAGGAAUCUUCCGCAAUGGACGAAAGUCUGACGGAACAACGCCCCGUGAACGAUGAAGGGCUUCCGGUCCUAAAGUUCUGUUGGCAGGGAAGAACAAGUAGCGGAGUAACUGCCGGUACCUUGACGGGACCUGACCCCAAAGCCACGGGUAACUACGUGCCAGCAGCCGCGGGAAUACGUAUGUGGGAAGCGUUGUCCGGAAUUAUUGGGCGUAAAGCGCGCGCACGCGGGUCCUUAAAUCUGAUGUGAGAGCCCCCGGCUCUACCGCGGAGAGUCAUUGUAAACUGUGGGAACUUGAGUGCGCAAGAGGAGAGCGGAAUUCCACGUGUAUCGGUGAAAUGCGUAUAGAUGUGGAGGAACACCAGUGGCGAAAGCGGCUCUCUGUGCUGUGACUGACACUGAGGCGCGAAAGCGUGGGAGCGAACACGAUUAGAUACCCUGUUAGUCUACGCGGUAUACGAUGAGUGCUAAUGUUAUAGAGUUUCCGCCCCUUUANAGCUGCAGCCNACGCACUAAGCACUCCGCCUGGGGAGUACGGCCGCAAGGCUGAAACUCAAAGGAAUUGACGGGGGCCCGCACAAGCGGUGGAGCAUGUGGUUUAAUUC
rnacentral:rRNA from 1 species